rnacentral:rRNA from 1 species
GACGAACGCUGGCGGCGUGCCUAAUACAUGCAAGUAGAACGCUGAAGGAGGAGCUUGCUUCUCUGGAUGAGUUGCGAACGGGUGAGUAACGCGUAGGUAACCUGCCUGGUAGCGGGGGAUAACUAUUGGAAACGAUAGCUAAUACCGCAUAAGAGUAGAUGUUGCAUGACAUUUGCUUAAAAGGUGCAAUUGCAUCACUACCAGAUGGACCUGCGUUGUAUUAGCUAGUUGGUGGGGUAACGGCUCACCAAGGCGACGAUACAGAGCCGACCUGAGAGGGUGGUUGGCCAGACUGGGAGUGAGACAGGGCCCAGACUCCUACGGGAAGCAGCAGUAGGGAAUCUUCGGGAAGGGACGGAAGUCUGACCGAGCAACGCCGCGGGAGUGAAGAAGGUUUUCGGGUCGUAAAGCUCGGUUGUAAGAGAAGAACGAGUGUGAGAGUGGAAAGUUCACACUGUGACGGUAUCUUACCAGAAAGGGACGGCUAACUACGUG